ensembl:lncRNA
GUGAACUGCAGCUGCCGCUGUUGCUUCCUCAAGAGACUCAACAUUGGUCUGCGGAUCUGCUGGCGUUCACAGGCCUCAGUGCGUAACAUGCACGUCCACGACGUUGUUUAUGAAAUCUGAUCACAGCGAGGUGUUCGGGAGGGUCGACGUCACCAGCCGCGAGCGCAUGUGAGUUCAGACGCAUCCGGCGCCAUAAGGGCUCUCUGCCGCGGUCCUGGUGCGUCGGAUCAGAGGAGAAGACGCGGUGGCUCACCGGUGGUUUUUCAGGUUUGGGGCCGCUCCCAUUUCAGUUAAUGUUUGUAAUCCUCGUUUCAGUUGUUUACACGUCACGCAACAGGAAGUUUGGCUCUAAUGGUUUUUUUUUUUUCUCUCAAAAUACUUGAGAAUUGAGAAGAAUUGUUGAUGCACAAAUGGUAGUAUGGCAACAAAUGUCUGACCAGGAUUUAUUUGCAUUUGGUCAACACAAAUGGAAAGUAAAAAUUAGUUUGAUAGUUAACUUUUAAAACUUCCCUACAUAAAUUACAGAGACGGAAGAUCAUAGGCUGACUCUGAAUUUACUUUUAGGAGUAAAUAACCGAGACAAACCACCUCCGUUCUCCAACUGAAAGUCACAAAUGAAGGUGUGACACGUCUUGUGGUGUCAACAGGUUUUGUUUGCCCCAACAUGCUGCAGAAUGGACGUCCGAUGUCGAAGCAGGAAUCUGUGGAAUGUGGCUUGUGCCUGACGAUUUCUUCUUGUUUAAACAGCAUUUUCUAAACACGAAGAAGUGCUGUUUUUGGCUUUGCUGUGCAGUCACAUGAUCAGUUACAGGGGGGGGAUGAUCCUACAGUGACCAUUCACACCCAAUUAUGUGUUAUUUGAGUACAGGAGGCGCUUUCAUUACUGCAAACAGAGAGCCGCACAAUGUCGUCGUUUGAGGCAGGAACCCACUGGCACAGUGUCGUCAUUUGAGAAUACCGCCAUCGGUCUGUUUGGGGGGGGUUGGUCUAGCACGCAAACGGCUGAGCUGUCUGGUGCUUACACAACAAUUAAUGAGAACGCAGUUUUUUGUUUUGUUUUUUUUUAAAGCAGGACAUUUUCGAGCAAAGGCCUGAACCAGGUGACAAAAGUAAAUCCAACAGGGUUUACCUGUGCUGCAGCUUUGGCUGCUCAAAUGUCAAUCUCUAUUGACUCUGAUGUCCAAAUGCCCAAAUUACCCAAUUUAACCUGUAAUAAGGUUUACACGUUUGACAUGACCUAGUGUUCGGUCGAGCCGUCUCCUCUACUGCGGCCGGCCUCCACUCCAGUUAUGACCGUGUGCCGUGUCACCACUUUGAGCUUCACAACGGCUCUUUCAGAAACAUGUGAGUGGCACAACAGAGACUUUAUGGUCUUAUUCUGAACCAAU